GUACACUCCUACGGGAGGCAGCAGUGGGGAAUUUUGGACAAUGGGCGAAAGCCUGAUCCAGCCAUGCCGCGUGCAGGAUGAAGGCCUUCGGGUUGUAAACUGCUUUUGUACGGAACGAAACGGCCUUUUCUAAUAAAGAGGGCUAAUGACGGUACCGUAAGAAUAAGCACCGGCUAACUACGUGCCAGCAGCCGCGGUAAUACGUAGGGUGCAAGCGUUAAUCGGAAUUACUGGGCGUAAAGCGUGCGCAGGCGGUUAUGUAAGACAGUUGUGAAAUCCCCGGGCUCAACCUGGGAACUGCAUCUGUGACUGCAUAGCUAGAGUACGGUAGAGGGGGAUGGAAUUCCGCGUGUAGCAGUGAAAUGCGUAGAUAUGCGGAGGAACACCGAUGGCGAAGGCAAUCCCCUGGACCUGUACUGACGCUCAUGCACGAAAGCGUGGGGAGCAAACAGGAUUAGAAACCCUAGUAGUCCCA
rnacentral:rRNA from 1 species